rnacentral:rRNA from 1 species
UACGGAGGGAGCUAGCGUUGUUCGGAAUUACUGGGCGUAAAGCGCACGUAGGCGGCUAUUCAAGUCGGGGGUGAAAGCCCGGGGCUCAACCCCGGAACUGCCCUCGAAACUAGGUAGCUAGAAUCUUGGAGAGGCGAGUGGAAUUCCGAGUGUAGAGGUGGAAUUCGUAGAUAUUCGGAAGAACACCAGUGGCGAAGGCGACUCGCUGGACAAGUAUUGACGCUGAGGUGCGAAAGCGUGGGGAGCAAACAGG